AAUCGUCAAUGCGACGUCCUCCUACUCCCACCUCAGAGCUGUCACAGAGACUGUCAGUUCCGUCCCUCCCCUUCAGCCCUUUAACGCACGUCUUCCCGACCGCAUAACUUGCUCAGUCCCUGCGGCCAACUGGGGCGGGCCAAUGGCUGUGACGGAUAAGGGGUGUGGGGUGCGGGGACAAUGGGCCAGAGCUUCUCAUGCAGCCUGCACCAGCGCCGGGUCGGAGAGUCAGAGGCCACCCUGAGAUGGACCGAGAUCUUCAGUUGGGGAGGCGCCUCCGGUGAGCUUGCGGCCAGAUGCCCCCUCAGUAGUCCUCCGCAACAGGUGCCGCGCAGCCGAGUGGCGGGCUAGCAUACCGCCUGCCCGCAAUUCGGCCAGGCCUCGAGCCUGCUCCGCCUUCCCGCUGCGGUAGCGCCGCCGGGGAAACGCCGCCACGGGCUGCAUGGGCAGCGCUCGCGCCCCGCCGCUGAGCCGCCGGGGAGCCGUCCAGUCUUCGAAUCCCACCACAGCAUGUUCCGAAGAGAUGAUUGGAAGAUGGAAGUGGAGGGUUAAAUAAUGAAAUGCAGCUAACAUUUCGGAAAGUUUCUAAAAGUUGUACAACAUGCCCUACAGCUACUCUUUAAAUCUCCAAAUCAAAUGAGUUUCAGGUGGAGCCUCUGGGAGGUGAUGAGGUCAUGAGAGUGGAGCCUCAUGAAUGGGAUGAGCACUCCUACAAAAAGGAUUCCAGAGAGCUCGCUUGCUCCUUCCACAGUGUGAGGACACAGAGGGAAGGCUCUGUCUAUGAAUGAGAAAGUGGGUCCCCACCAGACAUUGAAUCUGCCGCAUCUUGAUACUGGACUUCCAGUCUCCAGAACUGUGGGCAAUAAAUGUCUGUUGUUUAUUACCUGUCCAGUAUCUUUGGUAUUUUGCUAUAGCAACCCAAAUGGACUAAGAAAACACCAGAGGCCAUACCUAAUAAAAAUAUUGACAUCACAA
rnacentral:lncRNA from 10 species